CCUACGGGAGGCAGCAGUAGGGAAUAUUGCUCAAUGGGGGAAACUCUGAAGCAGCAACGUCGCGUGGAGGAUGACGGUCUUCGGAUUGUAAACUUUCUUUGUUAGAGAAGAUAAUGACGGUAUCUAACGAAUAAGCACCGGCUAACUCCGUGCCAGCAGCCGCGGUAAUACGGAGGGUGCAAGCGUUACUCGGAAUCACUGGGCGUAAAGAGCGCGUAGGCGGGAUAGCAAGUCAGAUGUGAAAUCCUAUGGCUUAACCAUAGAACUGCAUUUGAAACUGUUAGUCUAGAGUAUGGGAGAGGUAGGUGGAAUUCUUGGUGUAGGGGUAAAAUCCGUAGAGAUCAAGAGGAAUACUCAUUGCGAAGGCGACCUGCUAGAACAUAACUGACGCUGAUGCGCGAAAGCGUGGGGAGCAAACAGGAUUAGAUACCCCUGUAGUC
rnacentral:rRNA from 1 species